rnacentral:rRNA from 1 species
CAGAGGGUGCAAACGUUGUUCGGAAUUACUGGGCGUAAAGCGAGUGUAGGCGGUUCGGUAAGUCGGAUGUGAAAGCCCCGGGCUCAACCCGGGAAGUGCACUCGAUACUGCCGAGCUAGAGUAUCGGAGAGGUUGGUGGAAUUCUCGGUGUAGAGGUGAAAUUCGUAGAUAUCGAGAGGAACACCGGUGGCGAAGGCGGCCAACUGGACGAAUACUGACGCUGAGACUCGAAAGCGUGGGGAGCAAACAGGAUU